ACGGGUGAGUAAUACAUCGGAACGUGCCCUGUAGUGGGGGAUAACUAGUCGAAAGAUUAGCUAAUACCGCAUACGACCUGAGGGUGAAAGUGGGGGACCGCAAGGCCUCAUGCUAUAGGAGCGGCCGAUGUCUGAUUAGCUAGUUGGUGGGGUAAAGGCCCACCAAGGCGACGAUCAGUAGCUGGUCUGAGAGGACGAUCAGCCACACUGGGACUGAGACACGGCCCAGACUCCUACGGGAGGCAGCAGUGGGGAAUUUUGGACAAUGGGCGAAAGCCUGAUCCAGCAAUGCCGCGUGUGUGAGGAAGGCCUUCGGGUUGUAAAGCACUUUUGUCCGGAAAGAAAUGGCUCUGGUUAAUACCUGGGGUCGAUGACGGUACCGGAAGAAUAAGGACCGGCUAACUACGUGCCAGCAGCCGCGGUAAUACGUAGGGUCCAAGCGUUAAUCGGAAUUACUGGGCGUAAAGCGUGCGCAGGCGGUUGUGCAAGACCGAUGUGAAAUCCCCGAGCUUAACUUGGGAAUUGCAUUGGUGACUGCACGGCUAGAGUGUGUCAGAGGGGGGUAGAAUUCCACGUGUA
rnacentral:rRNA from 1 species